CCGGCCAAGGCAAGAACGAAAGGGAAAAAGCAUAGAACAAACCCUAGAGAAGAAAAUCAAGAGAAAAUUCAUUGAAUUUCAAGGAAUUAAGCAAGUAAAGGUGGUGAAACUUCCAAUAAGGGUAAGGAAAUUGUACCCGAAGAUCGGGACUAAGAGUACUUCGACUCUCGAUAUACUUACUGUAGUAGGCGGGUUUUCGUGGACCAGCCUAUUAG